ACAAAGAAUCGAGAAAUGGGGCGGGCCGAGAUGCUGAACAGGCCUCAGGCCAACCUCCGGCUUUCUGGUGACAUUCUGUAAAACUCUAGAAUCCAGUUAUCACUUGCUGGCUCCAGUCCUGACCUUCCUGGGUGUACGCUGCGGGGAGGACCAGGUUGAGGGUUCUGAGCCAUGCAGGAGUAAGUGGGCAGAUUGGAGAAGGACUUGAAACUUGGUAAAAGAGAAAAAUGCCAUUAGUCAAUCAUUUAUUGAGGACCUACUGUGUGUCGAACAUUCUGAUAAAUGCUGGGGAUCCUGUAGCCAACAAAAGACACUGUCUAUCAUGGUCCAGACAGUUUGAUACCGCGCAACCUAGAAAAGCUCCUCGAUGGAAAAUAAUGCCUGAGACUCACCUCCACGCCAUUAAGUUGAAAAUAAGAUCCAGAACUCGAGUGAACAUACGCCAGCUCCUGAGAGGAGAAGAAAGUUGACUUUGGGUUAGGAGCUGCCCGCAGGCCUUGGUCACCCUCAUCUCCAACCUGGAUUGAAAUAUGUAUCAGCUGUUUAAUACCCACAACUUGAGUCUGUCUGAGAAGUCUGUCUGAAAAGGGCAUCAGCGGGGCUUGGUAUCCCCAGGAGGCUUGGUACUGGCACACACAGGGACCGGAGGGCAUAACAUCUGUGCACUGGGCCAGUCACUUCUUUGUGUCUCUAUUUUCCAGGUGAGCAAACAGAGAGCAGGAUAGGGCAGGCGCGCCUGAGAGCUGUAAGGAGCCCCACUGGUAUCGCCAUAGCCAGCCCUGUGGCCGGCCUGCUAUGCUUACAGGUGUCCUCACUUGUGUGGUUGCCAGAACUCCUGUUCUUCACCUUGGGUUGGAAUUGGGGGAAGGAGGGGACAUAGAAGGCUGCAGUGGGGAGGGAUUUUGCACUUCCUCCAGGCCACAGCAGAAUACAGAGGCAGAGAUGAGGGACUAAGAGGCAAGGCUACAACUCCGCUCACUGAGGAUGACAGGCAAGCAUUUGGACCCCUGUACCGGCUGGUUCUUGUGUCAACUGGACACAAGCUGGAGUUAUCACAGAGAAAGGAGCCUCCCUUGAGGAAAGACCUCCAUGAGAUCCAGCUGUAAGGCAUUUUCUCAAUUAGUGAUCAGGGUGGGAGGGCCCAUGGUGGGUGGUGCCAUCCCUGGGCUGGAAGUCUUGGGUUCUAUAAGAGAGCAAGCUGAGCAAGCCAGGAGAAGCAAGCCAGUAAUUAACAUCCCUCCAUGGGCUCUGUAUCAGCUCCUGCUUCCUGACCUGUUUGAGUUCCAGUCCUGACUUCCUUUGGUGAUGAACAGCAAUGUAGAAGUGUAAGCUGAAUAAACCCUUUCCUCCCCAA
rnacentral:lncRNA from 1 species